AUCUUAUUUUUUUUAUUGUAUGUGUAUUUGUUGUGUUAUUGCGUUAAUGUGCUUGCAAAGCUGCAGCAAACAAGAAUUUCAUUGUCCUCCCGUUCCUGGUGCAUAUGAAAAUUAAACACUCCCUUCUCUUGUCUCUUGAAAAGCAGCUUGCAAAAGGUUUACUGGACCAAUACCUGGAAUGAACAGGUUGAGUGGUGAGGAUAUGCUAGGCUUGUAUCACUGGAGAUCGGAGAGUGAAAUUGAUUGCAGCGUGGAAGAUCCUGACGGGAUGGACAUGCAGAGAUGUUGGGACACAAACAAGGAAUUGCAGAUGCUGGUGUACGAAAUAAAAGACACAAAGUGUUGGAGUAACGCAGUGGGUCAGGCAGCAUCUCUGGAGAACGUGGCUAGAUGACGUUUCAAGCUGCGACCCUUCUUUAGACCCUUCUUUGGUAAGCACUGGGGGAGGGUUGGGGAAGAAAGCUAAUAGAGAGGACAGGGCAGGACAAAGCCUGGGAGAUGAUAAGUGAGCGAGGAGGGAGGAGGGAGGUAUUUGAUAGGCAGGUGGUUAGACAAAGGCCAGAGAUGAAAAAAACAGAAGGAUUGAAGAAUUGUGAUGCCAGAGAAAGGAAUGUAGGCGGAAGGGAAGGGGAAAAAUAGGUGCGAGUCCAGGUGUGGUGGAAAAAAUAGCGAGGAUAAGGGAAGAAGGGGGUUUUGUAGUUACUGAAAAUCAGAACAUUCAAUGUUCAUCCUAUUGGGUUGUAAGCUAUCCAAGUGGAAUAUGAGGUGCUGUUCCUCCAGUUUGCGUGUGGCCUCACUCAUGCAACGGAAGGGGCCAAGGACAGAAAGAUUAAUUUGGAAACGGGAAGAGGAAUUAAAAUGGUGAGCAAUUGGGAGAUCCAAUAGGCCUUAGUGGAAUGACCGCAAGUGUUUGGCAAAACUGUCGCUGAAUCUACUCUUGGUCUUGCCGAUCUACAGGAGGCCAAAUCGGGAACUGUAUGCCGUGGAUGAGGUUAGAGGAGGUGCAAGUGAAUCUCUGUCUCACCGAGAAGGACAAGCUGAGCUCCCAGGAUAGAGAGCAAUUUUAUGGCAUCUUUAUCUCGUAAACUUUGCAAUGAUAACAGUACCUGUCCACAUAGAAAGGGAAGCAAAACUUGGUCAAUGUCUGCAGAACUUCCUGUGGAGAGAAAAAACAGAGAAUUUAUGCAUCUUGUGAGGACAAGAUUCACAAAAACUUGCAGUGAAGAAGACAGCAAUUCAGCACACCAUGUUUUGCCAGUUCUUUGAAAGAGCUUCCUAAUGAGUCCCAAUAAAACCCACAAAUAUGUACUCGCACACUAGUAUUAUUUUUCUUUGCACUACCUGUUAUACUGUGUAUAGUUUAAUUGUACUUACGUAUAGUAGGAUUUGGCAGGGUAGCACGCAAACCAAGGUUUUACACUGCCCCUCAGUGCACGUGGCGAUAAUAAACCAAUACUAAUGCCAAUUACAUAACAUUCGCACCACACUUGUGCUGGGCAAUAGCAGUAUCAAACAAAAGAAAGCCCAGCUAUCACUCCCUUAUAUUCAAUGGCCUUACAGUCAUCCAUCAACAAGGCUCAAGUCUGGAGUGUGAUGGAAUACUUGCCUAGUUGAGCGCAGCUUCAACAACACUCAAGCAGCUUGGCACUAUGCAGGACGGCACAGUGGCACAGCAGCAGAAUUGCUGUCUUACAGCGCCAGAGACCCAGGUUCGAUCCUCACCAUGGGUGCUGUCUGUAUGGAGUUUGUACGUUCUCUCUGUGAGCACGUGGGUUUUCUCCGGGCGCUUCGGUUUCCUCCCACAUUCCAAAAACGUGCAGGUUUGUGGGUUAAUUGGCUUCUGUAAAUUGUCCCCAUUGUGCAGGAUAGAACUGAUAUACUGGUGAUUUUUGAUCGGUGUGGACUCAGUGGGUCAAAGAGCCUGUUUCCAUGCUGUAAACCCAAAACCAAAAAUUGAAUUUGUCCACCUGACAGGGCCCCAAUCCACAUCAGUUCAUUCACUCAAUCCAUCAUCAUCGCACUGUUUGCACUGUCUACACAAUGCACUGUGGCAACACACCACAACUGUUUCAACACCACCUUCCAAACCCCAACAUUUUACUUGCUAGGAGGACAAGGGCUGCCAAGGUAUGGGGACACUACAGCUGGAGGUUGCCCUCCAAGCUGCACGCCAUUCUAACUUGGAAAUAUAUCAUUUUUCCUUCACCGUCACCAAGUCAAAAUCCCGAAACUCUCUCCCUGACAACAGUGGAGGUAAAUCCACAGCUCAAAGACUGCGAUAGUUCAAAAAGACAGCUCACUAUCACCUCAAGGGCAACUAGGAAUGGGCAUUUAAAUGGUGGCUCAGCUGAUUACAUUUUCCCAUGGCUGGCACAAAGCCUAUCUUACAAAGUUUAUUCUUCCACUUUUUUGUAAUGCUUUUUAAACCUCCAUGCCAAAGUGACUCAUGGUUCAGCUCCGCACAAUUUAUUCAGGCUCACUACUGCUCUAAUGUUAUCGCUACCAAACAAUUUCUUCUUUGCACAGCCAAAUUUGCCCGACUGAGUAGCUGCAUGCAAGCCUCUUACAGUCCUCUUGUUAAAAUGUGUUCAUCAGUUAUAUACAGUACAAAUCUGAUGGCAGUGGAUUUGUGAAAGUGAUUUCUGGCCCCAAAGUUAAAUGUGAAUCAAUGUUUCCACUGAUUGUUUAUUUACUUAAGGUAGACACAAAAUAUCUCACAAUAUGACAUGAGACUUAUUCGACAGUUAUCCUUCAAUCAAUUCCAUUUAUCUCACUGCCACUUGCAGGAUCUUACUAUGUGUAAACUAUUUUGCUGUGCCUCCUACAAAAUAAGGAAUACAAUUUAACAGAGGCUGGCAAAUGCUCCAAUAUGCAAUUUUUUUCUUUGAACAUUAACAAACAAUCUGAUCUUAUCAUCUCUAGUGCAUUUACCCUGAGAAGGCUGCCCCAUUGGAAAUAGAAGGUUAAUUGCUUGACAUCAAAAGACUCUACUCUUAACAACUUAAUAAAGGUUAAUACUGAGUUCAUUAAUUUAAAUCUACGGUAUUUUUGAUUUCAGUAAAGAAAAUUAAGCCUAGGGAAUCUUGCUUAUCAUCAACCAAAGCAUUCCUAUCCAUAAUCACUUUUCCUAUUCAUUGCUUUGUCCUUUCCAGGCGUUGGGAACAUUUGCUGCAAGUUUGGGAAGGUUCAUGAAUGGCACUGUUGCCUCACUGACGACAAAGUUUUACACCCAAACUAAUCUUGGCAGCAGCAGCAGAUCAUGAUGUAUGUUAACCUAGUAGAAGCUUCAUACUAAAUCAAAGCUCCGUGACAUGCUCUCGGGCAACUUCCCAAGACAAAUAGUUGGGCAGAGUAGGUGGCACAGUGGCACAGCUGGCAGAGUCGCUGCUUCACAGCUCGAGAGAGCCAAGUUCAAUCCUGAUCGAGUGCUGUCUGUGGGUGGAGUUUACACAUUCUUCCUGUGACUGUGUGGGUUUCGUCCGGUUGCUCAGUCUUCCCCGCAUCUCUCAAACACACGCAGGUUGGCAGGUUAAUUUCUCAUUGUAAAUUCCCCCUUGCACAAGUACAAUCUAGGAAGAAAUCAUAGCAAUGUAGGGAGAAGAAAAUGGGUUAGCAUAGGAUUUGUGUGAAAAUGGCAUGGAAGGACUUGAGUCUAUGCUGCAAGACCAUGACAUUUCCUUUUGCCUAACUGUUUAGUUCUGCUCCAGUUCAGUAUUGACAUUUAUAAAGUUACCUACCCAAUUGGAUGCUCGUGUGGAAUAAAGAACAUACAACAAGAAUCGGACAGAUCACCAACACUGAUGUGCAAACUUAAGGGGGAUAAAAAUUGUUUGAAAAAAUAUGUUGCAAUCCCAGCCAAGCAUAUACAUGUCUGCCUUUAUGUUCGCUCAGUUUGUUUGGGUAUAUUUCCCCAAAUUGAAGCAAAGAAGCACAUUUAUUGCAUGGGAGGCUCAAUUUGUAUGUAUUAGUUGAUGUUAAGAUCUAGAAAUACAGUUUUGAAAGAAGUUUCAAAGGAGUUUAUCUGUAGACACAAGAAACUGCAGAUGCUGGUUUACAAAAAAAAUUAUGAUGUUCUGGAAUAACACAGCGGGUCAGGCUGCAUCUCAGGAGAACUUGGAUAGGUGACAUUUCGGGUGGGACCUAUCUUCACACUGAUUUGGGGAAGAAACUUGAAAGAGAGGUGGGGGCAGGACAACGCUUGGCAAGGGAUAGGUCGAUACAGGUGAGGGAGGAGAGGUCAUUGGCAGAGAUUAAACGGUUUGGGUGGAAAGGGAUGAGUGAACCAAGGAGUCAAGGAGGGAGCAGUCUCUGUGGAAGGUGGAAAAGGAUUGGGAUGAGAAGAUGUGGCUGGUGGUGGGAUCAAGUGUGUAUGUUCUCCCUGUGACCCCGUGAGUUUUCUUUGGGUGCCCCUGUUUCCUCCCACGCUCCAAAGAAUUGGCUUCGGUAAAGUUGUAAAUUGUCCCAUAGUGUGUGGGAUAGUGCUAAUGUAUGGGUGAUCGCUGGUCGGCGCAAGCUCAGUGGGCCGAAGGACCUGUUUCUGCGUUGUGUCUCGAAACUAAAAUAAUCAAAUUGAAUUAAUAAAAAUCUUAAACCAAUUAGGUUGUGUAUGAAGUAAUUUAGAACUUUAUAACCCUUUCCAAAAUAAAUACAAAUUCUCAUGUAAUUCAAAAUGUUAAAAUGAAAUGCAAAUCUAGCAAUAUGUUAUGAAAAUAUUUGUUUGGGAAAACUCUGAAUUUAUAAUGAACAGAUUUACCACUACAUAACUUGCUAUUUGCUGUAAUUAACAUUUUCAUAAAACUUUCAACUUGAUUUCACUCCCUGCUGACGCAUAUCUGGAAAAAACUCCCAUACCCAAAACAUUUCACCUCCUCUGGGAGCAUCAGCUCUGUCGAGGCCAUAAAAAUCUACAAAUCCAAAUCCUACUUGCACUGAUUGCUAUUCCAUGCGUUUAAGAUACAAGGUUCAGCAAAUUAUUUUUGAGACAUCUCAGCUUUCUCUCAGUCUCCUUCAUCCCAAUAUCAAUGUGAGAGCAUUUAAAACCUGUUACACUUUGAACAUCACCACGAUUCCUUCCAUCAUUUCCAUGUAAAAUUUAGUGUUACACCAUCGGACAAAAAUCCUCGCCCCUUACCCCCACCCCUGCUUCCAUCAGACUCCAACGAAAAUUGAACAAUUUGGAAGUACAUGUUUAUACAUGAUGUUACUUUUAUUUAUCUUCUCACUCCUUAUACCAAAUUAAUAUUCUGAAACUGACCGGAACAAUUUACUAUUUAAUAAAUUAAUUGAUCAGCUCCUGGAUUAUCUGCAGAGCCUGGUAAAUACAUGAUUGCAAACAUGGCUAUUGUCAAGUACACUAUCCAGUAGGUAUAACUGGUUCAUUUUUAAAUACUUUACAUAGUUUCUACACAACGAGACAAAUUAUUUAAAUUACCAGCUUUUAGUGGGAAGAUGAAAAUUUAUUUCUCUGUUAAUUGCCCAAACCUGUUUCAAGAUGCAAUACAGCUUUCAAAGUAUUAACAUAGCACCUACUAUAGUUGAUGUAAAUAAAAUCUAGGUGUUCUAAAUCUUGAUCUAAAUCUAGUCCAAGAGGAAUUCACUGAUAGAACUUGGUAAUGGAACAUAGAACAGUACAACAGGAACAGGUCCUUUGGCCCACAAUGUCCAUCCGAAACAUAAUGCCAAUUUAGACUAAUCUCCUCCGAGUCAUGGUCCAUAUCCCUCGAUUUCCUGCAUAUCCAUAUGCCUAUCCGAAAGCUAUUAAAUGCCACUAUCGUAUCUGACUCCAUCACCAUCCCUGGCAGUGUGUUCCAGACACUCACCACUCUCUGUGUAAAAAACAUGCCCCACAGAUCUCCUUUAAACUUUGGCCCUCUCAUCUUAAACCCAUGCCCUCUGGUCUUUGACAUUUCCAUCCUGGGGGAAAAAAGUUCUUACGGACUACCCUUUCUAUGACUCUCAUAAUUUUAUAUAAUUUCUAUCAGGUCUCCCCGCAACCUUCCCGUGUUCUAGAGAAUAUCAAUUUAGUUUAGUUGAGUUUAGAAAUGCAGCGCGGAAACAGGCUCUUCGGCCCAUU